rnacentral:rRNA from 1 species
AUUGAACGCUGGCGGCAGGCCUAACACAUGCAAGUCGAGCGGAUGAAGGGAGCUUGCUCCUGGAUUCAGCGGCGGACGGGUGAGUAAUGCCUAGGAAUCUGCCUGGUAGUGGGGGAUAACGUCCGGAAACGGGCGCUAAUAUCGCAUACGUCCUGAGGGAGAAAGUGGGGGAUCUUCGGACCUCACGCUAUCAGAUGAGCCUAGGUCGGAUUAGCUAGUUGGUGGGGUAAAGGCCUACCAAGGCGACGAUCCGUAACUGGUCUGAGAGGAUGAUCAGUCACACUGGAACUGAGACACGGUCCAGACUCCUACGGGAGGCAGCAGUAGGGAAUAUUGGGCAAUGGGCGAAAGCCUGAUGCAGCCAUGCCGCGUGUGUGAAGAAGGUCUUCGGAUUGUAAAGCACUUUAAGUUGGGAAGAAGAACAGUAAGUUAAUACCUUGCUGUUUUGACGUUACCAACAGAGUAAGCACCGGCUAACUUCGUG